rnacentral:rRNA from 1 species
GACGAACGCUGGCGGCGUGCUUAACACAUGCAAGUCGAACGAUGACGACCGAGCUUGCUCGGUCUGAUUAGUGGCGAACGGGUGAGUAACACGUGAGCAACCUGCCCUUCACUCUGGGAUAACCUCGGGAAAUCGGGGCUAAUACCGGAUAUGAGCUCCUGUCGCAUGGCGGGUGUUGGAAAGUUUUUCGGUGAAGGAUGGGCUCGCGGCCUAUCAGUUUGUUGGUGAGGUAGUGGCUCACCAAGGCGAUGACGGGUAGCCGGCCUGAGAGGGCGACCGGCCACACUGGGACUGAGACACGGCCCAGACUCCUACGGGAGGCAGCAGUGGUGAAUAUUGCACAAUGGGCGAAAGCCUGAUGCAGCGACGCCGCGUGAGGGAUGACGGCCUUCGGGUUGUAAACCUCUUUCAGCAGGGAAGAAGCGAAAGUGACGGUACCUGCAGAAGAAGCGCCGGCUAACUACGUG